AUUGAACGCUGGCGGCAUGCCUUACACAUGCAAGUCGAACGGCAGCACGGGUGCUUGCACCUGGUGGCGAGUGGCGAACGGGUGAGUAAUAUAUCGGAACGUACCUUAUUGUGGGGGAUAACGCAGCGAAAGCUGUGCUAAUACCGCAUAAUCCCUAAGGGGAAAGCGGGGGACCGUAAGGCCUCGCGCAAUUAGAGCGGCCGAUACCUGAUUAGCUAGUUGGUGAGGUAAAGGCUCACCAAGGCAACGAUCAGUAGCUGUCUGAGAGGACGAUCAGCCACACUGGGACUGAGACACGGCCCAGACUCCUACGGGAGGCAGCAGUGGGGAAUUUUGCGCAAUGGACGAAAGUCUGACGCAGCAACGCCGCGUGGAGGAUGAAGGUCUUUGGACUGUAAACUUCUGUUAAUUGGGAAGAAAGAAUACGGUUUAAUACAUCGUAUUUAUGACGUUACCGGUAAAGAAAGUCCCGGCUAACUUCGUGCCAGCAGCCGCCGUAA
rnacentral:rRNA from 1 species